UCUAGUGCAGUAGCCAAUUUCUACAUGCCAAUUAAUUAAAAUUGUAGCCGAGCUCCUAAGUGCAAACUCUUUCUUUCUACUGAAAAACAAACUUGAGACGCAUCCUUACCCCAACCAAGCACCAGUAAGUGGAUCUUAUUGCUUGAAGGCCAUCGGGCUACAUAAGGUUGCAAAAUUGUUCAAGUUGUAGAUUUAAGGGGUCAGACUUGCAUUGCACUUUUGCUGGAUUCUCUCCUCAUAAAC
rnacentral:lncRNA from 1 species